rnacentral:rRNA from 1 species
GACGGAGGGUGCAAGCGUUGUUCGGAAUUACUGGGCGUAAAGAGCGCGCAGGCGGUCGUUCAAGUCGCGUGUGAAAGCCCCCGGCUCAACUGGGGAGGGUCACGCGAUACUGCUCGACUUGAAGGCAGGAGAGGGAAGUGGAAUUCCCGGUGUAGUGGUGAAAUGCGUAGAUAUCGGGAGGAACACCAGUGGCGAAGGCGACUACCUGGCCUGUUCUUGACGCUGAGGCGCGAAAGCUAGGGGAGCAAACGGG